CGGAUCGCUCACCCGGGGUAGACACGUCGUAUUCCUUAUCCACUCAACUACCCUCCCACUGCCGCCUUGCCUCCUCCUGCGACGCCGGCCGCCACGCCGUUCCUCUUUCGGGCAACGCCCCUCCGCCGCGCUCCUCCUCCCGGCAACGCAGCCGCCGCUCCGCUCCUGCUGCCGGCUACGCGCCCGCUGCCGCGCCCCUCCGGCCGCCUUCCGAUGACGUACGCCGUGCCCGGCAUGCGUCAGGCCGGUCCCGUCCUCCUGGCGACGCGAGCCGCGCCCGGCGGGCCUGCUCCCCUGCUUCCGUAUGCCCCGUAUGUUGCUGGCCGCCUCCUCCUCUUUUGCUUGCACAAGCGCCGUUGUGCCAUCCAUCUGCAGGUCACAGCCUCCUUCAGCAACAGGCCGAUGCUGCCGUGACCAUCCAUGGCGGCGAGUAAACCCGGCCGCGGCGGCCUCAGCCAAGUGCCCGUCCGCCGCACCCAGCGUCCCGAAGUAGCCGCCCUUCCGCUGUUCCACACCACGCGCGAUGGCCGCAUCAAUUCGAUUUGAUGUGCAUGCAUUCCGGUACCUGAUUUGACAGCCUCUCUGUCGAUUUUUGGUGCUUCUCUGUCAGCACGGCAUAGUGUUGCCUGCAUUUUUUUACGAUGCAUCAGCGUGUGUGGUCGCGUUGUACCCCUAGGCAACACUGGAUGCACGCAGGGAGCUUAGAUUAGGGGGCUGUGAGUUCUUGUGCAGUUCGCCGCAGGGGAUGAGGUUGCGCUUUUUGUGGUUUGUGCGGUUGCACGAGAUCUUGUACUUAGUUGGCUUCUGGAGCUGGCGAUGAAGCAUGGAGGAGCAAAAGAGCACGGAACACCGGCGUUGACGCACUGCUCCGUCAUCUCGCCGGGGCCGUCGUAUUCCCUAUUGCCUCCCUAACUCACCGUUCGCGAGCACCCCGCGGCCUCCGGCGUGCUUAAGCCGUCAUCGGAGCCUGCAAGCUGUGGCAACCUCCCAGCGCAUGGAUGCAUCGACCUUGAGUAGUGGUCGUCGCUACCAUCCCGUUCAUGGCAGACACUUUUUCCUCUCUUGUGUGUGUUUCUUUCUCUCGUGUGUGUGGAUUGUUACGUUUACUAGUUGGCUCAUGUCAGGUGGAUGGAUCUGUGUGUGGAUUGUUACGUUUACUAGUUGCCAAUAGUUCUUCUGUCAACUAAACAUCAA